GUAAUAGCUCACUGGUCGAGUCGGCCCGCGCGGAAGAUGUAACGGGGCUAAACCAUGCACCGAAGCUGCGGCAGCGACACAAAGUGUUGUUGGGUAGGGGAGCGUUCUGUAAGCCUGCGAAGGUGUACUGUGAGGUAUGCUGGAGGUAUCAGAAGUGCGAAUGCUGACAUAAGUAACGAUAAUGCGGGUGAAAAACCCGCACGCCGGAAGACCAAGGGUUCCUGUCCAACGUUAAUCGGGGCAGGGUGAGUCGACCCCUAAGGCGAGGCUGAAAAGCGUAGUCGAUGGGAAACGGGUUAAUAUUCCCGUACUGGUGGUAACUGCGAUGGGGGAACGGAGAAGGCUAGGUUGUCCGGGCGACGGUCGUCCCGGUUCAAGCAGGUAGGCAGAGUGAUUAGGCAAAUCCGGUCACUUAAUGCUGAGAUGUGAUGACGAACCACCAAGGUGGUGAAGCAAUUGAUGCCCCGCUUCCAGGAAAAGCCUCUAAGCUUCAGGUUACCAACAAUCGUACCCCAAACCGACACAGGUGGUCAGGUAGAGAAUACUCAGGCGCUUGAGAGAACUCGGGUGAAGGAACUAGGCAAAAUGGUGCCGUAACUUCGGGAGAAGGCACGCUGGCGGUAGGUAAAGUCCCU
rnacentral:rRNA from 1 species